AUGUGUGAGGGCAAUCUGGCUGCCAACCCCAUUCGUUGGCAGGGCUGAUUCAGCUGAUCUGGCUGGCUCGGCGGGUAUCCCUCUUCCCUUACCACUAUCUUAUCCUCCCAGAAUGCCGGGCUGCAUCGGAGACAGCCACCUUCCCCGAACAGGAAAGGACCAGUCUUCCCAGUAUCUGUGCUUCCUGUAGAACCUGUAAAGUCUCAUAAAAUAAACACCGGCUGAGCAUGGUGGCACAUGCCUUUGGUU
rnacentral:snRNA from 1 species